CAAACUUUUUUUUUUGCCAAACAAAUAUGAAAAAAUAUGGAUUAAAUCCGGAAUAUUCUAAGCAUUCCAAAUAUGCAUUCAUUUAUUAAUUAAAACAUGUUUAUGGUUGUGUAACGGUCCACUCUUUAGUGAGAAGUUGUAUCGGACUGUUUGAUGAAUUUACGAACUAGAUAACCUGAAUUUGACUACAAAAUUCAUAUAUUUAAAUUUCUAACUAUCUACUAUCAAUGAUAGAUAUAUUAGAAUGAAUGUAAUAUGAAAAUAUCUUACAUUAGGUGUUUGCAAUUAUUUUUUAGGGCCAAAAUUCAUGCGUAAAUAGACAAAAAUAUAAAAAAAUAUAUAAAAUGGCACCCCAAAUAUGUAAAAUGCACAUUAACAUGUUCUACUAUGAUUAACACAUCAUAUGACAUCAUUAAAACAGCAAAAGAAUCAUUAAAAAAUGAUUUUUUGAAUUUUCAGAAAAAGGGCCGAAAUAAAUGCGUAAAUAGAAAAAAAUAUAAAAAAAUAUAAAAUGGCACCCCAAAUAUGUAAAUUGCACAUUAACAUGUUCUACUAUGAUUAACACAUCAUAUGACAUCAUUAAAACAGCAAAAGAAUCAUUAAAAAAUGAUUUUUCGAAUUUUCAAAAAAAGGGCCGAAAUAAAUGCGUAAAUAGAAAAAAAUAUAAAAAAAAUAUAAAAUGGCACCCCAAAUCUGUAAAAUGCAUAUUAACAUGUUCUACUAUGAUUAACACAUCAUAUGGCAUCAUUAAAACAGCAAAAGAAUCAUUAAAAAAUGAUUUUUCGAAUUUUCAAAAAAAGGGCCAAAAUAAAUGCGUAAAUAGAAAAAAAUAUAAAAAAUAUAUAAAAUGGCACCCCAAAUCUGUAAAAUGCACAUUAACAUGUUCUACUAUGAUUAACACAUCAUAUGAAGUCAUUAAAACAGCAAAAGAAUCAUUAAAAAAUGAUUUUUCGAAUUUUCAAAAAAAGGGCCAAAAUAAAUGCGUAAAUAGAAAAAAAUAUUAAAAAAAUAUAAAAUGGCACCUCAAAUCUGUAAAAUGCACAUUAACAUGUUCUACUAUGAUUAACACAUCAAAUGGCAUGAUUAAAACAACAAAACAACCAUUAAAAUUUGAUUUUUCGAAUUUUAAAAAAAGGGGCCAAAAUUCAUGCGUAAAUAGAAAAAAAUA